UACGGGGGGAGCAAGCGUUGUUCGGAUUUACUGGGCGUAAAGGGCGCGUAGGCGGCCACCGCAAGUCGACUGUGAAAUCUCCGGGCUUAACCCGGAAAGGUCAGCCGAUACUGCGGGGCUAGAGUGCAGAAGGGGCAACUGGAAUUCUCGGUGUAGCGGUGAAAUGCGUAGAUAUCGGGAGGAACACCGAUGGCGAAGGCAGCACUCUGGGCCGGUACUGACGCUGAGGAGCGAAAGCGUGGGGAGCAAACAGGG
rnacentral:rRNA from 1 species